rnacentral:rRNA from 1 species
UACGUAGGGGGCAAGCGUUGUCCGGAAUUAUUGGGCGUAAAGGGCGCGUAGGCGGCUCGGCACGUCCGUUGUGAAAUCGCCCGGCUCAACUGGGCGGGGUCGGCGGAUACGGCCGAGCUGGAGCAAGCUAGGGGGUAAUGGAAUUCCCGGUGUAGUGGUGGAAUGCGUAAAUAUCGGGAGGAACACCAGUGGCGAAGGCGGUUACCUGGAGCUUUGCUGACGCUGAUGCGCGAAAGCGUGGGGAGCGAUCCGG